rnacentral:rRNA from 1 species
CCCUCCGAAGUUUCCCUCAGGAUAGCUGGUGCAUUUUAAAAUUAUGUAAAAUAAUCUUAUCUGGUAAAGCGAAUGAUUAGAGGCCUUAGGGUCGAAACGACCUUAACCUAUUCUCAAACUUUAAAUGGGUAAGAACCUCACCUUUCUUGAUAUGAAGGUUGAGGUUAUGAUAUAAUGUGCCCNGUGGGCCACUUUUGGUAAGCAGAACUGGCGCUGUGGGAUGAACCAAACGUAAUGUUACGGUGCCUAAAUUAACAACUCAUGCAGAUACCAUGAAAGGCGUUGGUUGCUUAAAACAGCAGGACGGUGGACAUGGAAGUCGUAAUCCGCUAAGGAGUGUGUAACAACUCACCUGCCGAAGCAACUAGCCCUUAAAAUGGAUGGCGCUCAAGUUGUAUACCUAUACAUUACCGCUAAAGUACAUGAUUUAUAAUACGAAUUUGCGUUUGUUUUAUAAAUUUUGAAACUUUAGUGAGUAGGAGGGUACAAUGGUGUGCUUAGAAGUGUUUGGCGUAAGCCUGCAUGGAGCCGCCAUUGGUACAGAUCUUGGUGGUAGUAGCAAAUAAUCGAAUGAGACCUUGGAGGACUGAAGUGGAGAAGGGUUUCGUGU